rnacentral:rRNA from 1 species
UACGAAGGGGGCUAGCGUUGCUCGGAAUCACUGGGCGUAAAGCGCACGUAGGCGGCUUCUUAAGUCAGGGGUGAAAUCCUGGAGCUCAACUCCAGAACUGCCUUUGAUACUGAGAAGCUUGAGUCCGGGAGAGGUGAGUGGAACUGCGAGUGUAGAGGUGAAAUGCGCAGAUAUCGGGAAGAACACCCGUGGCGAAGGCGGCUCUCUGGGACGGUACUGACGCUGAGACGCGAAAGCGUGGGGAGCAAACAGG